GCCGGGGAUGGCGCAGCGGCAGCGCGCUAGCCCUUGAAGGUUAGAGGCAUCAGUUCGAAUCUGGUUCCCCCGGCG
rnacentral:tRNA from 1 species